rnacentral:rRNA from 1 species
UACGGGGGGGGUAAGCGUUGUUCGGAAUUACUGGGCGUAAAGGGCUCGUAGGCGGCCAACUAAGUCAGACGUGAAAUCCCUCAGCUUAACUGGGGAACUGCGUCUGAUACUGGAUGGCUUGGAUUCGGGAGAGGAAUGCGGAAUUCCAGGUGUAGCGGUGAAAUGCGUAGAUAUCCGGAGGAACACCGGUGGCGAAGGCGGCAUCCUGGACCGGCAUUGACGCUGAGGCGCGAAAGCCAGGGGAGCAAACGGG